AGAAGAUGAAGUCUUCAAUAGACUCGAAGAGCUCAGGAUAAUUGAUUGUCCCAGACUAAUUGGAGAAUUUCCCCAACAAUUUCCGUCACUACAAAGACUUGAGAUAUCUGGCUGCGAUAGUCUUGUGCAUCCUAAUGGUCAAUUGAGCAUCUUGAAUGGAGAGAUUCAACAAAAAUUUUCAUCUCUUUGUCAAUUGAAGAUUUCAAUUCUAAAGAAUUUGAAAGAGUUGCCCAUAGAGCUCAACCAAUUACACAAACUUGAGGGAUUGACAAUUGAUGAUUGUGGGUCUCUCUCAACCUCCCACGCGAGUAGACCACCUACCUCACUUAAAUCACUUGCGUGCAAGAGAUGCUGCAAUUUGGAAUUAGGGGGUUCAGACUGGGAGGGUGGUGGGAACUUGGAGUACUUGAAAGUCGAGAAUUGUGACUCUGUCAAAGUCAAAGUCGAGUGGCUUGCCUCGUUUCCCGUGCUAAAAUUUUUUAUUGUCUUGAACUGCAAGAGUAUUGAGAUGCUCUCAGUUCUUGCUACACCGGCACCUGGGAUUGGGAAUCAGAGUGGCAUGACAACUACUACUACUGCAAUGAUGUCACUUCAAGUCUUAUAUAUCUUAAGCUGCAAUGAUCUAAUGUCUUUUCCAGAGGGAGGAUUGGCAGCCCCCAAUCUAACGCAGAUUGUUAUCGAAGAUUGCGAGAAGCUCCUGUCACUGCCGCAACGGAUGGAAUCCCUCCUCCCGUCUCUUCGAUUUCUAAAGCUAGAAAAUUGUCCAGAAAUUGAGUGCUUCCCGGAAGGGGGUUUGCCCUCUAGCCUACAAAUCCUUGAAAUCUUGAGGUGCAAAAAGCUCAUGAGUCGCCGAAGAGAGUGGGGUUUGGAUAAACUCCCCUCUCUUACGGACUUGUGGAUUGUGGGUAUCAAGGAUGGAGUAGAGUUAUUUCCAGAGGAGGACUGGCAGCUGCCUUGCACGCUUCAAGCUCUCUUGUUGCAGUCCCUUGAGAAUCUAAAAAUGCUAAACUAUUCGGGUCUUCGGCACCUCACCUCUCUUCAACGCCUAGUUAUCGGCUUUUGCCACAGACUCCAGUCCCUACCAGAAGAGGGACUGCCUGCCUCUCUCACCACAUUAGAUAUCUCCGAUUGCCCAAUGUUGAAACCAAGGCUAGAAUGGGAGAAAGGACAAGACUGGCCCAAGAUUGCUCACAUCCCUUGCCUAAUAAUCGAUGACGAGCUAGUUCCUUGAUAAUGACACCGAUUACAGGUGAGGGCUUGCCUUCCAAAGUUACAAGACCCCCACCAUCAUCUAUUUAUAUAAUAAUUAAAGGACAUGGGUUGCUCUCUCCCAGUCGAGAUGAUACCUUUCUCAGUAUUCUAAGGACCAUGAUUGCUCUGUCUUCGGCCAUUGCAAAAUGGGGGCGAGUGAGCUCCAUCUUUGCAGUAGAUUAAUAUUUAUAGAAUGGCGGCCAUUGCAGAGUUGCUGACAUUAUUUUCAGAGUAGAGAAAGGAAGAAGAUUAGCACAAGCAAGCAGACCAGUAUGGAAACCAUCAACUAGAAGAUCACAAGCCAGAACCUGUCAUGCAUAUAUGUUUUUCAGGCCACAACAUCAUGCUGUCAUUAUUCAUCGCAUUAUGAAGUAUGUAUUGCAAGGAGCUCAGUUCGCUGCCUGGAAAGAUGCAAGCCCUCGUCGCAUCUUUAUGUUGAAAAAUGUGGCAGCAUCAUGUAACUGAGAGCUUUUGAGCUAGGUGUUGCCUCCAGACUGCAACCAUAUCCUUUUGAUGGAGGAUAUUGCAGAUUUUCCCUUCUUGGUCAGACUGCAAUAUUAGUGGCACUGACAAAAAAGAGUUACUUCCAUAAUACUGGCUCCUGUCUUGCACCCUCGCCAUCUUUCACUUGGAGCAGCAUAAGAGCUGAAGAACAAUGACCUACAAGUGUCUUCAACACUUCAUCUAUCUUGAAGAUAUGGAAAUUGCUGACUGCUCUUAGCUCUAGUCGCUACAAAAAGAGUUGUUGGUGUCCUCCCUGCUUCCACUAUGCAUGAAAAAUAUGGUUUUCAUUGUUCAAAUUACCAUAUAAUAAGAGAAAGGAGGGGAAAGAAUGGCCCCAAGGUUUCUGAUAUAAACUGCACAGCUUUCAAUAGUGAGCUAAUUCUAUAUUGAAUCUUGCUUGUCAGUCGCAAGAGCUUGACCUCAGGGGCGUAAAGGAUUUUUCUCCAUGUUCAUGGCCAACUUUGCAAAACAGCUAAUUUGCCUACACCAAGGAUCCUAUCGAAAAUGUGCUAGCCACAUCAUACUUCUUGCCUUGCAUUUGCAAAUGGCAUGUUCAAGAAUUUUUCAACAUUUGAGAUGACAUUCGUCCUCGUUUUUUCAGUUCAUUCCUUCAUAGUCACUUAUUAGAUUAGAUCAUGGAAAGACUUUUCCUUUUAUGCAAUUAACAAUACGGGCGCAAUGUGUAAUUUCCAUUGCAUUUCUUAUUUGGUUUCAAUUUUAGUUUUGAAUACUCCUGGCAUAUUUUUGUUUCUAUCACAUCAGUGAAGUGAAUUUGGGAAGUAUUAACAUGAUUGUAUCUGCAUUCGUCAGAGAAAAACUUCAAAUCACCACUAUCACAUCCACUAAGAAAUGGAGAUUAGAGUUAAAGAACUAAACGCAAAGCAGAUUAUGAAACUUCAAAAGGAAAUUAAGAUUCCAACCCUUUCUGCAACUAAUGCAAUGGCUAUGAGGGCAGCAGCGGGGUACCUUCGUUUGUGUCAGGUGAAGAAAGGGGAGCUUAGUAGCGCUCGAGGCAGCUAUUUCUGCUGUGUA